AGUCACUGACAUUAGAUACCCGCGUAGUCCAGGGUGUAAACGCUGCAGACUUGGUGUUGGAAGCCCUUUGGGGGUAUUCAGUGCCGGAGAGAAGUUGUUAAGUCUGCUACUUGGGGAGUACGUCCGCAAGGAUGAAACUUAAAGGAAUUGGCGGGGGAGCACCGCAACGGGAGGAGCGUGCGGUUUAAUUGGAUUCAACACCGGAAAACUCACCAGGGGAGACUGUUACAUGAAACCCAGACUAAUGAUCUUGGUUGAUUUUCAG
rnacentral:rRNA from 1 species